UGUUUGCUGUGUUUUCAAUAAGCACUGGAGACCAACAUGCGCCUGGCACCUGGCCUUCAGUGGGUUCGUGACAACAUAGCGGCCUUUAGCGGAGACCCAAAUUCAGUCACUAUCUCCGGACAAUCUGCAGGUGGCAUCAGUGUCUCUAUGUUGGCUUCUGCCAGCUGGACAUCCUGAUGUAUUUACGUUUAAGGCAUUUUUGGGUCCAGCUAUUGACGGAGUGUUCCUGAAAGGCCCACCUGAAGACGUUUAAAGGACAAAGAAUUCCAGAAAGUUCCUAAGCUGAUCGGAGUGACCACUCAUGAGUUUGGAUGGAUGCUCCCACAGCUCCUCGGACCUACUGGAUGGGAUCAAGGUAUGAAGAGGGAAGAUGUGAUAUCAGUGAUGAACAUGUUCUUCCCCUCCCGUG